ACGCUGGCGGCGUGCUUAACACAUGCAAGUCGAACGAAGAGCGAUGGAAGCUUGCUUCUAUCAAUCUUAGUGGCGAACGGGUGAGUAACGCGUAAUCAACCUGCCCUUCAGAGGGGGACAACAGUUGGAAACGACUGCUAAUACCGCAUACGAUCCAAUCUCGGCAUCGAGACUGGAUGAAAGGUGGCCUCUAUUUAUAAGCUAUCACUGAAGGAGGGGAUUGCGUCUGAUUAGCUAGUUGGAGGGGUAACGGCCCACCAAGGCGAUGAACAGUAGCCGGUCUGAGAGGAUGAACGGCCACAUUGGGACUGAGACACGGCCCAGACUCCUAUGGGAGGCAGCAGUGGGGAAUCUUCCGCAAUGGACGAAAGUCUGACGGAGCAACGCCGCGUGAGUGAUGACGGCCUUCGGGUUGUAAAGCUCUGUUAAUCGGGACGAAUGGUUCUUGUGCGAAUAGUGCGAGGAUUUGACGGUACCGGAAUAGAAAGCCACGGCUAACUACGUGCCAGCAGCCGCGGUAAUACGUAGGUGGCAAGCGUUGUCCGGAAUUAUUGGGCGUAAAGCGCGCGCAGGCGGAUUGGUCAGUCUGUCUUAAAAGUUCGGGGCUUAACCCCGUGAUGGGAUGGAAACUGCCAAUCUAGAGUAUCGGAGAGGAAAGUGGAAUUCCUAGUGUAGCGGUGAAAUGCGUAGAUAUUAGGAAGAACACCAGUGGCGAAGGCGACUUUCUGGACGAAAACUGACGCUGAGGCGCGAAAGCCAGGGGAGCGAACGGGAUUAGAUACCCCGGUAGUCCUGGCCGUAAACGAUGGGUACUAGGUGUAGGAGGUAUCGACCCCUUCUGUGCCGGAGUUAACGCAAUAAGUACCCCGCCUGGGGAGUACGACCGCAAGGUUGAAACUCAAAGGAAUUGACGGGGGC
rnacentral:rRNA from 1 species